AUUGAACGCUGGCGGAAUGCUUUACACAUGCAAGUCGAACGGCAGCACGGGGCAACCUGGUGGCGAGUGGCGAACGGGUGAGUAAUACAUCGGAACGUGCCCAAUCGUGGGGGAUAACGUAGCGAAAGUUACGCUAAUACCGCAUACGAUCUACGGAUGAAAGCGGGGGAUCGCAAGACCUCGCGCGAAUGGAGCGGCCGAUGUCAGAUUAGGUAGUUGGUGGGGUAAAGGCUCACCAAGCCGACGAUCUGUAGCUGGUCUGAGAGGACGACCAGCCACACUGGGACUGAGACACGGCCCAGACUCCUACGGGAGGCAGCAGUGGGGAAUUUUGGGACAAUGGGCGCAAGCCUGAUCCAGCCAUUCCGCGUGCAGGAUGAAGGCCUU
rnacentral:rRNA from 1 species